GUGUCAGCAGCCGCGGUAAUACGAGGGGGGCAAAUGUUGUUCGGAAUCACUGGGCGUAAAGGGAGCGUAGGCGGGUGUUUAAGUUAGGUGUUUAAUCCUGGGGCCCAACCCCAGUCGUGCACUUAAAACUGGACAUCUUGAAUAGUGGAGAGGUCAGUGGAAUUGGGGGUGUAGCGGUGGAAUGCGUAGAGAUCCCCAAGAACACCAGUUGCGAAGGCGGCUGACUGGACACAUAUUGACGCUGAGGCUCGAAAGCAUGGGGAGCAAACAGGAUUAGAUACCCCUGUAGUCC
rnacentral:rRNA from 1 species